UACGUAGGGGGCAAGCGUUGUCCGGAUUUAUUGGGCGUAAAGAGCGUGUAGGCGGUUCGGUAGGUCCGUUGUGAAAACUCGAGGCUCAACCUCGAGACGCCGAUGGAAACCCUCGAACUAGAGUCCGGAAGAGGAGAAUGGAAUUCCUGGUGUAGCGGUGAAAUGCGCAGAUAUCAGGAGGAACACCAAUGGCGAAGGCAGCUCGCUGGGACGGUACUGACGCUGAGACGCGAAAGCGUGGGGAGCAAACAGG
rnacentral:rRNA from 1 species